rnacentral:lncRNA from 1 species
UUUAUUGUAACACUGUCUGAUAAAGGAAAUAACAGUAAUAAGAAAAAAAAUGGAAGGUGAUUUCGAGGCCUGCGAACGCUAAGCAUGUAUACCUUGAAGUCUCCGGAAGGCAACUAAUUAGUCAAUCACUAGCGUCCAGCACGGGCGGACGUACCUGGAUCUGCACAAAAGAUGUGCAGAAGUUUCGUAUGAGUACACCACAAUAGUACCCAGUAAAUAUCAAGCCUAAUUCGGUAUAGUAGUGACGAGUCCAGGUCAAGACAUCUACUAAGACAAGAUAAACGAAGCAAAAAAUAAUAACGGAAAAUAAUGAAAAAUAGAGAACUGAAUGAUAAGAAAGUAGUUUAGCAACAUAAACUAAUGACAGAAUUCUAAUCAAAAAGGCAACAAGAAGGAAACACAUAAUAAGAACCACAAAUAAUCAAAUAAGGACAAAACUGGUAAGACUAGGAAGAAUAAAACCAACAAGAACUGUUCAACCAAUAAAUCCUUUCAAUAAGAAUUGCAUAACAAGAAUUACAACCGAGGUACCGCCUCGUAUUCAAAUUUUACAAUUUUAAUCACAAUCUUUCCUUAUAUCACCGCGUGAGCUUUACAUUUAAUUUUAAAAAUCAUUUUCUUUUGAAAUAGCUACAUGCAUUUUAGCCCACCUUAUCUUAUCGCGUGGCUUCAAGCAGUUCCCCCACUAGCAACACGCGUAUCAAGCCCACCUUAUCUCACCGCAUGCAUAUCAACCCUUAGCCUUUUAUCACCGCAUGCGUAUCAAUAUCACAACGCAAUCGCAACUCGCACCACAAGUUUUCAUAUACCACAAUUUACCAAAAAGUCAAUUAUACCAAUGUUUCCACAAUAAAUAGUCCAUGGCUUAACCCUAAUGUAUACAAGAAUCUUAAUAAUAACAAAAUGAAUGAGAAUUACUUAACAAGGAAAGAUAUCUCAACAAUUAACAACUUUACCUUAAUAUGAUAACCGCUUUUACAACUUCAACACCAAUAACUCAACACGAAGAUAUUCCAUGAAAUAACUUCAAGUAAAAGUAAUUCAACAAUUAAAGAGGUAACAAGACAAUAAGGAAGGCAAUAACUUCAACUAAAGCAUAUAAAAGCAAAAUAACAAGUAAGAGAUAGAAUAAGUGACAACAACGUCAAAUAAAGCAUGUAAGAGUAGUUUAACACAUGUAAGUGUAUACUGACAAUGAGAGAUAUAACAUGUUAUGACAAUUGAAUUAAAGGCAUGGAUAUCAAAGAGAGAGAAACUCUUCCAUCUCUCUAACCUACCCGCUCUCAAAUUCCUGUCACACACUCAGUUCCCUAUGAAUUCAAAUCCUUCCAAUCUAGAUACUACCAAAAUUCCCCCAAAACCAUCGGAUAAUUUAAUACCUAUCAAUUUAGCUAGGGAUCCAAACAACCUAGUAAAUCUAAACGACUCCAUUCUGGCUAAUUUUAAAGAAAAGCUAGUUGGAAACGAGGGAAGAAUUAAUAUCUCCAUUGACCUCCUAUCUUCCCUCGUUCUACCAAUGGACAUUCAAGAAGAAGAGGUUAUCCUCACUCAAAAGAGGAUCAUGAAAAUCUAUCUAUCCUCGUCCCCAUCACUCUUGAAGACAAGCAAAGAAUAUACCAGCCAUAGAAAUGCUCCCUAAUAAUAAAAUUACAUGAAAAAAGAAUCCUCCAUCAAAUUUUGAAACAAAAAAUUCAAUAACUAUGGAAAAUUAAAGAAAAUUUUCCUCUCAUUGAUUUGGGCAAUGAUUACUUCAUUGUCAAACUACAAAAUGAAGGAAACAUGAACCAUAUCCUCCAAGACGGUCCAUGGUUUAUCUAUGGUUUCUUUUUAUCAAUCCAACGCUAGAAACUAAACUUCGUAGCCAAGAAUGCAAAACAAAUCCAUACUGUCGUUUGGGUAAGACUACCCCAAUUACCUACAAAAUUCUAUGAUAGCCAAAUAUUACAAAAAGUUGGGAAAGCCAUAGGAAGACUCCUAAAGGUGUCUGCAUGUACAUCUUCUUUCUUAAGAGGAAGGUAUGCUAGACUUUGCAUUGAAGUGCCUAUGGACGAACCAGUGAAAAAAUUUAUCUUCAUCGGAAGUCAUAGACAAUAAAUACAUUAUUAAGCAGACAAUCAUCUUUGUAAAUUAUGUGGUCGCUUGGGACAUAGAACCACAGAUUUUCAGGAGAAGCAAGUUACAACAAAGAAAACAAAUUCUACACCUAUGACUCAAACAAAGAAAUCUCAGCAUCAACCAAUAGAUUCACUGGACGAGGGAUGGCAAACAGUCUCCUUCCCAUGAAGCAGGAGGCUUCAACAAUCAAAAUCAAAAAGGUUGAAUCAGGUAUUAAUGUCAAGUUAAUCAAUGCCACAACAGGUAAGUAUUUUAUUACUCAAAAACUUAAAUAUGUUCCAAAAGUUUUUAAUAAUGAUUCUGAGAACAAUCAACAACUAAAACCUCAUCUUUGUUUAUCCCAAAUCACCCCCAAAAAUAAUCCAAUAGAUGCUUCUAAAGGUUCUCUAAAUUCAAAACCUCGGCAAGUGGUUUUAAGUAAUACCACCUCUCAACAAAACCAAAACCAUUUCAGUAUAAAUUACUUGAAUCCGGCUCAAAAAAUAAAUCCUGACAAAAAUCUUCUAAACCCACUAGAAUACAAAAUAUCUAACAAGCAAGACCCUCCCCCCCCCCUCAAACUAAUCCUAAUAACCAAUCGUGGGUCACUCCUUUAAACAAUAAUGACCAUAAUGUAGGUAUUAAUCCCUCUAUAAACGACAGAAAUCAACAAACAAACAGCCCCCCUACAUGCGGAAGCACAUUCGUCCAACCACACACACCCUUCAUUACAAAUGACAAAAACCGUAUACACGUGCUUAGCAAAUCCCAUGCAAAAUUCUCUAUAUCUCCAAAUAUGAUAAACCUCUCCGGUGACAUGCAAAUAGAGGUAAUCAUUCCCUCUACUCCAACCCCUCAACCCUUAUAUUACCAAACCUCUUCUCCUAAAGAUUCCAAGACUCUCAUUAAAUAAUCGAAGAAGAUUCCGACUAAUUCAUAUACUGAUAAACCAAAGAACUCACCUCAUGGACAACUCUCUCUCUUCCCCUAGCAAAUGCCUCCUCUCCCAAUAGUCUAUGCUCAACCACAUCUUCCACAGAACCAUUACCCAACCUCAUGGAUAAAGCUAGUUCUAAUGGAAGGGGGGUAACACUCCAAGUGAACAUCAACGGGCAAGAGAGUAUAAUACUGAUCAACAACCCACUAUUCCUAGGACAAAUAGUGUUAGUGGAUCUACACUUAUCAAUGAGCAACUACUUGAAUCACAUUUGGGUGAACAACAUCAUGCAACCUCUACACCCGGGAUGAACAACAAUCCAGUUCAGACCAUAUGUGCCCAAUGGAACAUUCCCCAACACUUUUCUCAAAAUCCUUAUCUCCCUCAGAACAUGGGUCUAGAGCUACCUUUCUUUCCUCCCCAAGAGUUAUCUGCCCUAAAUCCAAUCUUAAUGCCAUGGUAACUCUCUUAGAAUCCCAUGCAACAAGAAAUGCCAAUGAACCCAGGUCCAAUGGACCAACAGGUUCCACAACCCCAUAUGCCACAAGAUAUAGGAAAUUAAGGAGGGGAUGGAGGGGGAGAUAGAUCUUAUAGGGGAGCUAAUGGUAGAAUAUUCAAACCUAGACGAAGUAAAAAUGUAUCUAUUCGAGGAGAGGUGGAAGAAGAGACUUAUUCUAGUAUGUCCUCCUUCAUUAUUCAAAUGCACAAUGGACAUGAGGCCACCCCAGGACCCCAUGAUAGGAAGUUAGCCAUGAUACUAAUUCCCUUAUUAAGGAGAACCCAGUAUUCCCACAAGAAAGUCAGUCCAAUGGUCCUCCACAACACCCUCACCACCCAAUGAAUCGUGUUAAAAAUAUCAUUAUCUGGAAUAUUAGAGGAGGAAAUAAUGCAGAAUUUAGAAGAAAUUUUCAUGAAUUAAUUGUCACUCACCAUCCUUGCAUGGUCGCCUUACUUGAAACAAGGAUGACAAAUCAUGGUAGUCUCAUGAAUGAAUUUGAUUUUUCGGAUAUGAUUGAAGUCCCAACAGAGGGACAGUCAGGUGGUAUGGCUGUGAUGUAGAAUACAAACAUGGUGAAUGUCAACAAUUUCGUCAAAAGAAACAAUAAAAUUCAUGCACUACUUGAGGUAAUCCCUUGUCAACAAUCUUGGUUCUUUUCAUCUAUUUACGCUAGUACAAAGAUUUCAAACAGAAACAACAUGUGGGAAAACAUUACAAAUAUUUUUGAUAAUUACAAAGGUGCUUGGCUAUUGGGAGGAGAUUUCAAUGAUGUUCUAGUAGCAGAUGAUAAACUAGGGGUAACCCUAUAAAUAGAAGAAGGGUUGCCAAAUUAUGGAAUAAGAUUAAUUAUUGUAAACUAAUGGACCUAGGCUUUAAAGGUUGUAAAUAUACCUGGUCAAAUCAUAAUAAAAUAUGCAAUAACUGUAUUAUGGAAAGAUUAGAAAAAUUACUAGCUAAUUAUGCACGGGUAAGGAUGUUCCCCAAAGCAUCCGUAAUUCACUUGCCAAAAACCCAUCUUGACCACAAUCCUAUUCUACUAGAAUUAAUUCCUAAACAGGCAAAUACCCUUCCAAAACUUUUCAGACUAGAAUAUUAUUAGUGUGGCCACCCUGAAUUUGGUAACAUUGUAAAGGAGUAUUGGCUUGACUAUUGACUCCAACUUUGUUGUAGCCUCUACUAUAUUUAAGAAUCGUAUUAUUGAUUAGAAAAUUAAAGCCUUUGGAGACCUUUUUAGGAGGAAGAAAAAAAAUCUGGCUAGAUUAAAGGGUAUACAAAAUUCUAGCUCCUAUGGCAUGAGCACCUUCCUUAAUAAUCUAGAAAUUACUCUCAAGUCUGAUUAUAAAAAUAUCCUAAAAAUGGAAGAAGACUUUUGGAAAUUACAUUCUAGAAUAAAUUGGCUCAAUAAAGAGGAUUUUGACAUAAAAUUCUUCCACAUUUGUGCCACAAAUAAUAAAAAAAUUAAUAAGAUUGUGUUUUUCAAAGAUAUUGAAGGUAACUGGAUAGAUGAACCACAAAAAAUUAUGGAUCAUUAACUAUUUUGAGCAAAUUUUCACUACUGGCCAUAUUUAUUCCAAUUGGUCCGAUAUUAAGACUGACCCCCCUAGUUACAAAAUUUAUAAAAUUCUUUAGAUAAUCCUUUAUCUCAGUCAGAAAUCAAGAAAAGCAAUCUUCAAUUUUAAACCUUUUAAAUCACCUGUUCCAGAUGGUCUUCACCCGUUCUUCUUUCAAAAAUAUUGGCAACACCUAAAAACUUCUAUCACACAGCUUUGCAACUAAGCCUUUGAAUCAGGCAAACUCCCAGAGGGGAUAAAUGAAACUUAUCUCUGUCUUAUCCCAAAAAUUCCCAACGCAAAUAAUUUGAAAAAUUUCUGACCUAUUGGUCUAUGUAACACAAUUUAUAAAAUUAUUUCAAAAACUAUAGCCAAUAGACUAAAACUCUUUCUAGAAAAUAUAAUUUGCCCUUAACAAGCUAGUUUUAUCAAAGGUAGACAUACUAGUGAUAAUGUUAUUAUUAUUCUGGAAUUAAUGCUUAAAAUGCACAAACAAAAAGGAACAAAUGGAAACUUGGUUCUGAAAAUAGACCUAGAAAAGGCUUUUGACCGAUUAGAAUAGUCUUUUAUAUACAGAACACUUCGUCAUUUUAAUUUUCCUCCCAAAAUCCCUUCCUUAAUUAUUUCUUGUACCACAACCAGCAAGAUUUCAAUCUUAGUCAAUGGUAGCAGGAGUAUUUACUUCUCUUCUAGCAGAGGUAUUAGGCAGGGAGACCCCUUAUCUCCCUAUAUUUUUAUCCUUUGCAUGGAAAUGCUUUCCAUUCAAAUCACCACCAAGUUGAUAUUGGUACUUGGUCUCCCAUCAAGAUGGGAAAGAACCAAUGUCAAUUAUCUCAUCUAUUCUAUGCAGAUGAUCUAACUCUAAUAUGCAAGAUUGACAAAAAAUCCCCCAAAUCUAUUCUCAAUUGCCUAAAUUCUUUUUUACAAAUUGUCAGGCCAAAAAAUAAAUUUCUCAAAAUCAAAAAUUAUUGUCUCCAAAAACUGCCCCACUCAUACUUCGAAGGCUUUGUCAAAACUAUUCAAUAUAAAAAUUAGUAAUAGUUUUGAAAAAUACAUAGGUUUUCUGAUUACAAACAACAAGCCUAGACCUUCUGAUUACCGGUUUAUCCUUGAUAAUAUGGCAAACAAAUUGGCUCCUGAAAAUCAAAUUUUCUUAAUAUGGCAGGGAGAACAACUCUUGCCUCCACUUCUCUAAACAGUAUUCCUAACCAUGUCAUGCAGUAUAACUACCUUUCCACUAGGAUUAUCAAACAUAUUGACAAAAUACAAAAAGCAAUUCAUCUGGGGAUCCAAUAUGAACCCAAAAAAAAAAUUCAUCUACUCUUGGGAUACUUUAACAAAGGAUAAAAACAAAGGGGGGCUUGGCAUCCCUUCAGCAAAAAAAAACCUAGCAAUCCUGGCUAACCUCUCCUAGAGACUCAUCCAUAACUCUAAACUUCCUUGGUCAAAACACUUACCUCACUUAUGGCUCCUCUACAAAUUUAAAAACACUUCUUUUAUUUGGAAAAGUGUAAUAAAAGGGUGAAAAAUUUGCAACAAAGAUUUAAAAUGGAUCCCACACACAAAUUCUUUUAUGAACAUCUGGGAAACAAACUGGAUCCCUAAAACUUCUUUGCUAAGAAAUCAACUAGAAGGACCUCUCACAAUUCCUAGCAAAAACCUUACCAUCAAAGACAUUUGGACUGAUAAUAAAUGGGAUUUAACUAAAAUUCCCUUUGACCUUCCUCAACCUAUUGAGAAUGCCAUCCUCUCAAUUCAUCCUGUUCAUAAUGCUUAUGACUCAUGUUACUGACUAAUUCAACAAAAUGAAAACAACUAUGAGAAUUUUAAGUGGAUUUGGGAUACUCACUGCCCAAAUAAGAUAAAAUUUUUGUUGUGGAAAUGCUUUCAUGGAAGGAUACUCACACGCUCAUACUUUAACCAUAUAGGCUUGAAUAUUGAUCUUUUAUAUCUUAUGUAUAAAACGGAAACUGAAACCAUGGAACAUAUUCUUACAACUUGUAAAGCAGUCAUACAUUACUGGGCAACAUUGGGUUUAAGUUUCUCUCCUAGUCAUAAUGGCUCUCACUGGCUCCAUAAAAUUAGAAACCUAAACUCUUUCACCCCCCUCUAUUUACCUUAAAUGGGAGGAUCUCUACCUUUUUGUCCUGUGGAGCAUUUGGCUAAACCGAAAUAAUAAUAAUAAUCACUCUAACAUGACUAUGAAUUAUAAUCCCUCUCAUGCAAUUUUACUAUCAUUAGAAUAUAAGCUCCUCACCAUAAACGAACAUUUUACUGUUCAUUCCCAUACAAUUGAGGUGCAUGGCACAAACCGCCUUAGAAUUCUUUCAAAUUAAACAUUGAUGGUGCCUUCAAAGAAAAUGCAAACAUGGGAGGUAUAUGAGGAGUAUUUAGAGACCAUAUGAGAAAGUGGAUAAUGGGUUAUCAACAUUCCUCUCCCUCAAACUCCCCCCUUCAGACAGAAUUGAAAGCCCUCAAGGAAAGACUUGCAAUUGUUCUAAAUCAUGGAUAUACAUCGCUGGUCAUUGAAACGAACGCAAUAGAGGUAAUCAAAUCACUACAUUCUGACUGUUCCUCACAACACGACUAUUUUUAUUUGGAGGUGGUUAAUGCACCAGCUGAAGCAGCCAAAGACUAACCAUAACUUUCGAGAGAGAAACAAGGUAGCUCAUAAGAUGGCAAAGGAGGCACUCAAGCAUGCAAAAAAUCACCAGUUGUUUGAUAAACCUACCCCUUUUGUGUUAAAUAAUUUAGCAACGGAUAAGUAUGGUUAUGUGUAUUUGGUUAAAAACAUUAUUACUGAUGUAUGUUGCAAUUUAGCCGUGAUGGGGAAUAUGAAUAUCCUCAAGGCUUGUAGUUUCCUUAAUGAUGUAACUGAUGGUACUACGUAAUGUUUAAUAUAUUAUCUUUGUUCUGUCAACAAAAAAAAAAGAAUUAAAGGGAUGGAAUAGUCUAAAUAACCUAAAUCGAUCAAAUACCAUAUAUAGCCCAUGUACACACUCGUCACCUCGCGUACAUGUCUUCCACAUAGCACAAAUAGCACGAUCAACCCAAAUCUUAAGGGGUAGUUUCCCCACACAAAGUUAGGCAAGAUACGUAGCUCAACUAGGGCAAAUCAACCCUCGAAUAUAACUUUUCCCAUAAAUUUCGCCUCCACACAGCUCAAAUCUAACCAAAAAUGACUUAUUAUCAUCAAAAAAUAUAAGGGAAAUCAAUUAUAAUAAAUAAAGCUAUGAUCUUUACACAAUUCCUAAAAAAUCAACAAAAGUCACCUCCAGGCCCGCCUGGUCAAAACCCAGGUCCAAGGGUAGAUUCCGAUUACCCAUAACCCUACAAGUUCAUAUAUGUGAUUAGUUUUCAAAUUCGAGUCCAAAUCGACUCUCAAAACUCAAACCUUCAUUUUUCAAAACUUUGACAAAAUCCCCCAAAUUUCCUCUUUGGUUCACAUAAAUUUGAUGUUAAAUCUAAGAUAUAAUCAUGAAACAUAGUUGGAAAUUGAUUAGAAUUACUUAUCCAAUGUUUUCUGAUUAAAACCCCAUCUCCAAAUCGCCUCUUAUGAAGUCUAGGAUUCUAAAAUGAGAAUAUGAUGAAAAAUCUCGCCUGAAUGAGUCACAGUAUCUCUCGUUCACAAGACGGGUUAGAUAUAUUUGAUUUCAUUUCUAGUCUUACCGGAGGCGGAGCUAGCCUAUGUGCGGGUUCGGUCGAACCCAGUCAUUUUUGCUUAAACAUUGUAUUUAUACUAGAAAAUUCAUUAAAUAUGUAUAAAUAUUUAAUUACGAAUCAAGUAACUUAGACUGAAAUAUGAGUUAUGUAACAAAUUCAGAACCCAUAAACUUUAAAUUCUGGCUUCGUUUCUGAGUCUUACUUUUCAAGUGACGCCUUUGACUACUGUAUUAUUCUGUGUUUGGACCACGAACUACCCCACCCCAAACAGAUUGCGUUUCGUUACUUUCACUUACUAUGGUGAAGAUGCUAUUCACAAAUACUUCACAUAAAAAUGGUGUAACAGUUGAACUCCAAAAGGAGAAAUGAGGAGUCCUUAAAUGGGAUUGCUACACUGCACAGAUACAUGAAUUCAAAGUAGUAAGAGAGAUCCCUCUCACACCCUUUAUUCACAAAAGUAUUAUAAGUAUUUUACAUGUAUAGUGUAAUUUUUUUUUUACACUGUUAGUGCAAUUUAACUAGUUAUAGCAGAUUAUCACUUUAUUUUUUGAAUUACUAUAUCAGAUUCUAAGGAACUUAAGCUCUUAACAAAAAUCUUGAAAGCAACAAGCACAAUUCAUGGUGGAGAGUCUGGAGACAAGAAAUUGGGCAUCCCAUUUUGAUUUGUGACACCUCUAGCUAGCUCCAUCAUAGGAGGAUUUUGAUCAUCUUUUACUCAAAGCGGGUGGCCAAGGAUUUGCUCUCUAUUCCUUUCUUCCUUUUUCUUUUCUUUGGUCAUUUCUUUCUUUAGGAUAUUUAUUUUCUUGGCUCCACAAACUCCUAUUUUUCUCUUAUCAAGAAAAUUAUAUUGCCUUCGUCUCUUUGAGUAUAUGCUCAUAACAAAGAAACAAUAUCGAAUGAUUGCUUCUUUAAGGGAUAAGCAUAUCAAUAAGAUUAAAAGUAAUAUUUGAUUUAUAUAUACAGUAUAAUUUUCUGAUGAAGGGUGUUCAACUGACCGUCCUUGAGCCUAUGUGACUCCGCCACUGGGUGUGCGGUGUGCCUACCUGACACUGAGAAUUAGAUGUGACAUGCACAGUGGACAAAGGAUGUUUGAGCAUGUGGUGCGCUUGUAGCGCCCUAUUUACAUGAUACUCAUUCGCUGCAUGAUCCUUGGAAUCUUGUAUUGUUGUGCGGCCUUGGUUUUAAGAGACUUUUUGGGAGAAAUUUGACACCUCAUUUAUGAAUAUAAGGGCGCUUCUAUGCCAAUCUUUCUCUUUUAUUAUCCCCCAUAAAUAGGCCUUGGACAUCCUUAUAUUAAUUAUGUUGUUAAGUGGAAGAUAUAAAUAGCUAUGCCCUUGUCUUUAAUUUCUUAAUUAGGUAGUAUUUCUUUUUCAUACCUGAAAUAAAAUAGUGCAAUAGCUCCGUGAUCCAGUUGGCCACUUCAUUUCUCGAUCCACAUGGAAAUGUAACAGGACGUGCAUUAUAUUUCACGGGGGUCUUUUUCAAGACACUAGUGGGGUGGGCUUCAUUCGCACAUGGCUCGGAUGGAACAGCGAGAUCUGGUGAUGUGAUACCUUCAUUUCAUCUGGGACUUUUGCUAUUAAUUGCUAGACCUAUCCGGUUGAGUCUCUCCUUGUGAAUCUUUAAGGUAGUGGCAUGGGAUAUGCUAUAUGGUGGCACAUUUGUAUUGACCUCUAAUUUUG